AAUCCAUAGGUUAAUGAGGCGAACCGGGGGAACUGAAACAUCUAAGUACCCCGAGGAAAAGAAAUCAACCGAGAUUCCCCCAGUAGCGGCGAGCGAACGGGGAGGAGCCCAGAGCCUGAAUCAGCAUGUGUGUUAGUGGAAGCGUCUGGAAAGGCGCGCGAUACAGGGUGACAGCCCCGUACACAAAAGCGCAUGUGCUGUGAGCUCGAUGAGUAGGGCGGGACACGUGGUAUCCUGUCUGAAUAUGGGGGGACCAUCCUCCAAGGCUAAAUACUCCUGACUGACCGAUAGUGAACCAGUACCGUGAGGGAAAGGCGAAAAGAACCCCGGCGAGGGGAGUGAAAAAGAACCUGAAACCGUGUACGUACAAGCAGUGGGAGCACAGGUUUACCUGUGUGACUGCGUACCUUUUGUAUAAUGGGUCAGCGACUUAUAUUCUGUAGCAAGGUUAACCGAAUAGGGGAGCCGGAGGGAAACCGAGUCUUAAUUGGGCGUUAAGUUGCAGGGUAUAGACCCGAAACCCGGUGAUCUAGCCAUGGGCAGGUUGAAGGUUGGGUAACACUAACUGGAGGACCGAACCGACUAAUGUUGAAAAAUUAGCGGAUGACCUGUGGCUGGGGGUGAAAGGCCAAUCAAACCGGGAGAUAGCUGGUUCUCCCCGAAAGCUAUUUAGGUAGCGCCUCGUGAAUUCAUCUCCGGGGGUAGAGCACUGUUUCGGCUAGGGGGCCAUCCCGGCUUACCAACCCGAUGCAAACUGCGAAUACCGGAGAAUGUUAUCACGGGAGACACACGGCGGGUGCUAACGUCCGUCGUGAAGAGGGAAACAACCCAGACCGCCAGCUAAGGUCCCAAAGUCAUGGUUAAGUGGGAAACGAUGUGGGAAGGCCCAGACAGCCAGGAUGUUGGCUUAGAAGCAGCCAUCAUUUAAAGAAAGCGUAAUAGCUCACUGGUCGAGUCGGCCUGCGCGGAAGAUGUAACGGGGCUAAACCAUGCACCGAAGCUGCGGCAGCGACACUGUGUGUUGUUGGGUAGGGGAGCGUUCUGUAAGCCUGCGAAGGUGGCC
rnacentral:rRNA from 1 species